ACUUAACCUCAAUAACUUCAAACAGUAACUAUUUCGCUAUUUUUUUAAUAAUUUUUAAAGAAUAUGAAGAAUCCUGAGAUAAAUCAGUUUAAUUUAAACUCAGGUUUAUUAGCUAAACAUAAAUCGACCAUCUACAGCAAUGCUACAUUGCAUAAAAUUGAAGUAGAAAAGUCUAUGAAUUUAGAACGAAACACCGUUUUAAGGACUCUAAUGAACUUUGCGAGUUAUUGAUAUUAACAUUGAUUUUUAUUAACAAUAAAUUUAAAUUUAAAAUCAUUUAAAUUUAACUCUAGAGAUGUCGCCACCAUAGAGAAUGUUUUAUUUAGUAACUUAACCUCAAUAUCUUCAAACAAUAACUAUUUCGCUAUUUUUUUAAUAAUUUUUAAAGAAUAUGAAGAAUCCUGAGAUAAAUCAGUUUAAUUUAAACUCAGGUUUAUUAGCUAAACAUAAAUCGACCAUCUACAGCAAUGCUACAUUGCAUAAAAUUGAAGUAGAAAAGUCUAUGAAUUUAGAACGAAACACCGUUUUAAGGACUCUAAUGAACUUUGCGAGUUAUU